UCCGGGAUCGUAUAAGGGCAGUACAAAUGGUUUUGGUCCAUUCAAUCGGGGUUCGAAUCCCUGUCCCGGAUCCA
rnacentral:tRNA from 1 species